rnacentral:tRNA from 17 species
GGGAGUGGAUGGUGCCUGGUGGUGCUCCUGGUCUUCAAAACCAGUCGUCGGGCAGCGCUCCUGUCCGUGGUGGGUUCGAUUCCCACACACUCCC